rnacentral:rRNA from 1 species
GACGAACGCUGGCGGCGUGCCUAAUACAUGCAAGUCGAGCGAAGUUUUUCUGGUGCUUGCACCGGAAAAACUUAGCGGCGAACGGGUGAGUAACACGUAAAGAACCUGCCUCAUAGACUGGGACAACUAUUGGAAACGAUAGCUAAUACCGGAUAACAGCAUUAACUGCAUGGUUGAUGUUUAAAAGUUGGUUUUGCUAACACUAUGAGAUGGCUUUGCGGUGCAUUAGCUAGUUGGUGGGGUAAAGGCCUACCAAGGCGACGAUGCAUAGCCGACCUGAGAGGGUGAUCGGCCACACUGGGACUGAGACACGGCCCAGACUCCUACGGGAGGCAGCAGUAGGGAAUCUUCCGCAAUGGGCGAAAGCCUGACGGAGCAACGCCGCGUGAGUGAAGAAGGAUUUCGGUUCGUAAAGCUCUGUUGUUAGGGAAGAAUGAUUGUGUAGUAACUAUACACAGUAGAGACGGUACCUAACCAGAAAGCCACGGCUAACUACGUGCCAGCAGCCGCGGUAAUACGUAGGUGGCAAGCGUUGUCCGGAAUUAUUGGGCGUAAAGCGCGCGCAGGUGGUUUAAUAAGUCUGAUGUGAAAGCCCACGGCUCAACCGUGGAGGGUCAUUGGAAACUGUUAAACUUGAGUGCAGGAGAGAAAAGUGGAAUUCCUAGUGUAGCGGUGAAAUGCGUAGAGAUUAGGAGGAACACCAGUGGCGAAUGCGGCUUUUUGGCCUGUAACUGACACUGAGGCGCGAAAGCGUGGGGAGCAAACAGG